rnacentral:rRNA from 1 species
UUAAGCGACUAAGCGUACACGGUGGAUGCCCUGGCAGUCAGAGGCGAUGAAGGACGUGCUAAUCUGCGAUAAGCGUCGGUAAGGUGAUAUGAACCGUUAUAACCGGCGAUUUCCGAAUGGGGAAACCCAGUGUGAUUUGUCACACUAUCAUUAACUGAAUCCAUAGGUUAAUGAGGCGAACCGGGGGAACUGAAACAUCUAAGUACCCCGAGGAAAAGAAAUCAACCGAGAUUCCCCCAGUAGCGGCGAGCGAACGGGGAGGAGCCCAGAGCCUGAAUCAGUGUGUGUGUUAGUGGAAGCGUCUGGAAAGGCGCGCGAUACAGGGUGACAGCCCCGUACACAAAAAUGCACAUGCUGUGAGCUCGAUGAGUAGGGCGGGACACGUGGUAUCCUGUCUGAAUAUGGGGGGACCAUCCUCCAAGGCUAAAUACUCCUGACUGACCGAUAGUGAACCAGUACCGUGAGGGAAAGGCGAAAAGAACCCCGGCGAGGGGAGUGAAAAAGAACCUGAAACCGUGUACGUACAAGCAGUGGGAGCACGCUUAGGCGUGUGACUGCGUACCUUUUGUAUAAUGGGUCAGCGACUUAUAUUCUGUAGCAAGGUUAACCGAAUAGGGGAGCCGAAGGGAAACCGAGUCUUAACUGGGCGUUAAGUUGCAGGGUAUAGACCCGAAACCCGGUGAUCUAGCCAUGGGCAGGUUGAAGGUUGGGUAACACUAACUGGAGGACCGAACCGACUAAUGUUGAAAAAUUAGCGGAUGACUUGUGGCUGGGGGUGAAAGGCCAAUCAAACCGGGAGAUAGCUGGUUCUCCCCGAAAGCUAUUUAGGUAGCGCCUCGUGAAUUCAUCUCCGGGGGUAGAGCACUGUUUCGGCAAGGGGGUCAUCCCGACUUACCAACCCGAUGCAAACUGCGAAUACCGGAGAAUGUUAUCACGGGAGACACACGGCGGGUGCUAACGUCCGUCGUGAAGAGGGAAACAACCCAGACCGCCAGCUAAGGUCCCAAAGUCAUGGUUAAGUGGGAAACGAUGUGGGAAGGCCCAGACAGCCAGGAUGUUGGCUUAGAAGCAGCCAUCAUUUAAAGAAAGCGUAAUAGCUCACUGGUCGAGUCGGCCUGCGCGGAAGAUGUAACGGGGCUAAACCAUGCACCGAAGCUGCGGCAGCGACACUAUGUGUUGUUGGGUAGGGGAGCGUUCUGUAAGCCUGUGAAGGUGGCCUGUGAGGGUUGCUGGAGGUAUCAGAAGUGCGAAUGCUGACAUAAGUAACGAUAAAGCGGGUGAAAAGCCCGCUCGCCGGAAGACCAAGGGUUCCUGUCCAACGUUAAUCGGGGCAGGGUGAGUCGACCCCUAAGGCGAGGCCGAAAGGCGUAGUCGAUGGGAAACAGGUUAAUAUUCCUGUACUUGGUGUUACUGCGAAGGGGGGACGGAGAAGGCUAUGUUGGCCGGGCGACGGUUGUCCCGGUUUAAGCGUGUAGGCUGGUUUUCCAGGCAAAUCCGGAAAACUAAGGCUGAGGCGUGAUGACGAGGCACUACGGUGCUGAAGCAACAAAUGCCCUGCUUCCAGGAAAAGCCUCUAAGCAUCAGGUAACAUCAAAUCGUACCCCAAACCGACACAGGUGGUCAGGUAGAGAAUACCAAGGCGCUUGAGAGAACUCGGGUGAAGGAACUAGGCAAAAUGGUGCCGUAACUUCGGGAGAAGGCACGCUGAUAUGUAGGUGAAGCGACUUGCUCGUGGAGCUGAAAUCAGUCGAAGAUACCAGCUGGCUGCAACUGUUUAUUAAAAACACAGCACUGUGCAAACACGAAAGUGGACGUAUACGGUGUGACGCCUGCCCGGUGCCGGAAGGUUAAUUGAUGGGGUUAGCGGUAACGCGAAGCUCUUGAUCGAAGCCCCGGUAAACGGCGGCCGUAACUAUAACGGUCCUAAGGUAGCGAAAUUCCUUGUCGGGUAAGUUCCGACCUGCACGAAUGGCGUAAUGAUGGCCAGGCUGUCUCCACCCGAGACUCAGUGAAAUUGAACUCGCUGUGAAGAUGCAGUGUACCCGCGGCAAGACGGAAAGACCCCGUGAACCUUUACUAUAGCUUGACACUGAACAUUGAGCCUUGAUGUGUAGGAUAGGUGGGAGGCUUUGAAGUGUGGACGCCAGUCUGCAUGGAGCCGACCUUGAAAUACCACCCUUUAAUGUUUGAUGUUCUAACGUUGACCCGUGAUCCGGGUUGCGGACAGUGUCUGGUGGGUAGUUUGACUGGGGCGGUCUCCUCCUAAAGAGUAACGGAGGAGCACGAAGGUUGGCUAAUCCUGGUCGGACAUCAGGAGGUUAGUGCAAUGGCAUAAGCCAGCUUGACUGCGAGCGUGACGGCGCGAGCAGGUGCGAAAGCAGGUCAUAGUGAUCCGGUGGUUCUGAAUGGAAGGGCCAUCGCUCAACGGAUAAAAGGUACUCCGGGGAUAACAGGCUGAUACCGCCCAAGAGUUCAUAUCGACGGCGGUGUUUGGCACCUCGAUGUCGGCUCAUCACAUCCUGGGGCUGAAGUAGGUCCCAAGGGUAUGGCUGUUCGCCAUUUAAAGUGGUACGCGAGCUGGGUUUAGAACGUCGUGAGACAGUUCGGUCCCUAUCUGCCGUUGGCGCUGGAGAACUGAGGGGGCUGCUCCUGGUACGAGAGGACCGGAGUGGACGCAUCACUGGUGUUCGGGUUGUCAUGCCAAUGGCACUGCCCGGUAGCUAAAUGCGGAAGAGAUAAGUGCUGAAAGCAUCUAAGCACGAAACUUGCCCCGAGAUGAGUUCUCCCUGACUCCCUGAGAGUCCUGAAGGAACGUUGAAGACGACGACGUUGAUAGGCCGGGUGUGUAAGCGCAGCGAUGCGUUGAGCUAACCGGUACUAAUGAACCGUGAGGCUUAACCU